UCAUAAGCUAGCUCACGACGGAGGAUUGCCCAAGUUCAUAUAAGCUGACUACCUGUUCAUUCUCAACCUUCAACCCACUCUAACAAUGUACAAACGCAAAUUUCAAACAAGGCCUGAUUAUUGCUUAUUCAACCACAAUCAAAAUACAAUUUAAGUAGAUACAAGAGCUCAAGAAAAAAGCAGAAUGAAAUGCUGAUAGAGGUACACAGUCUGUCUAUUUCUAACUCUGAAUGCCUGCGAGGACAGCCUGAAUUACUGUCGUACUUACCGUGAAAGUAACAGCAAGGAACACAAGGAAAUUCCAGGGAUCAUUAAGGAUUUCCAAUUUGAAACUAUCCUGGAAGGAUUGCCACCAUCAGAUCGCAAUUCAACUCAAGAUCCUGUUUCGUUAUGUCACUCGCUUAGGAAGAACUGCUUGACUCCUUUUCGUAAUUUACUAUCAAAGUUUAUUUCAUCACCCGCCGUUCCACCAAUUUCUUGUGUAAUAUCAGAUGGGGUGAUGAGCUUUGCCAUUAAGGCUGCACAAGAAUUUGGCAUUCUUGAUGUCCAAUUUUGGACAGCCUCAGCUUGUGGUUUUAUGGGAUACCUUCAAUUUGAUGAACUAAGAAGAAGAGGGAUUAUCCCAUUUAAAGAUGACAGUUUGAUGGAGGAUGGUACACUGGAUACAAUUAUCGAUGGGAUUCCAGGAAUGAGAAACAUUAGGUUGAAGGAUUUGCAAAGCUGUAUCAGGACUACUGAUCCACAUGAUAUUCUGUUAAACUAUUUAAGUGAUGAAGCACAAAAUUGCUUGAAAUCUUCUGCAAUAAUUAUCAACACAUGCACUGAAUUAGAACGUGAAGUCUAUCUCCAAAUGCCUACUCAAUUAAUAAUGAUGGAUCUUUCAUGCAUGUUGGAAAAAGUAAGUCAUAGACUUUAGGUUUUUAAUCUUCUGUCUGCUGUAAAUUUCUCAUCAUAUUUUCGAGACAA